rnacentral:rRNA from 1 species
AACGUAGGAGACAAACGUUAUCCGGAGUUACUGGGCGUAAAGGGCGUGUAGGUGGUUUCGUAAGUCUGGCGUGAAAUUUCUCGGCUUAACCGAGGCAGGUCGUCGGAUACUGCGGAACUAGAGGACGGUAGAGGCGUGUGGAAUUCCGGGUGUAGUGGUGAAAUGCGUAGAGAUCCGGAGGAACACCAGUGGCGAAGGCGACACGCUGGGCCGUACCUGACACUGAGGCGCGAUAGCAUGGGGAGCAAACAGG